rnacentral:rRNA from 1 species
GAUGAACGCUGGCGGCGUGCUUAACACAUGCAAGUCGAACGAUGAAGCCCAGCUUGCUGGGUGGAUUAGUGGCGAACGGGUGAGUAACACGUGAGUAACCUGCCCUUAACUCUGGGAUAAGCCUGGGAAACUGGGUCUAAUACCGGAUAGGAGCGUCCACCGCAUGGUGGGUGUUGGAAAGAUUUAUCGGUUUUGGAUGGACUCGCGGCCUAUCAGCUUGUUGGUGAGGUAAUGGCUCACCAAGGCGACGACGGGUAGCCGGCCUGAGAGGGUGACCGGUCACACUGGGACUGAGACACGGCCCAGACUCCUACGGGAGGCAGCAGUGGGGAAUAUUGCACAAUGGGCGCAAGCCUGAUGCAGCGACGCCGCGUGAGGGAUGACGGCCUUCGGGUUGUAAACCUCUUUCAGUAGGGAAGAAGCGAAAGUGACGGUACCUGCAGAAGAAGCACCGGCUAACUACGUG